rnacentral:rRNA from 1 species
UACGAAGGGUGCUAGCGUUGUUCGGAAUGACUGGGCGUAAAGGGCGCGUAGGUGGUCUUAAACGUCUGAUGUGAAAUCCCUGGGCUUAACCUAGGAACAGCAUUAGAUACGGUAAGGCUUGAGUGUGAGAGGGGAAAGUGGAAUUGCAGGUGGAGAGGUGAAAUUCGUAGAUAUCUGCAGGAACACCGGUGGCGAAGGCGACUUUCUGGCUCACAACUGACACUGAGGCGCGAAAGCGUGGGGAGCAAACAGG